rnacentral:rRNA from 1 species
UAGGGAAUCUUCCGCAAUGGACGAAAGUCUGACGGAGCAACGCCGCGUGAGUGAAGAAGGAUUUCGGUUCGUAAAACUCUGUUGUUAGGGAAGAAAAAAUGUAUAGUAACUAUAUACAAAAGAGACGGUACCUAACCAGAAAGCCACGGCUAACUACGUGCCAGCAGCCGCGGUAAUACGUAGGUGGCAAGCGUUGUCCGGAAUUAUUGGGCGUAAAGCGCGCGCAGGUGGUUUAGAAAGUCUGAUGUGAAAGCCAACGGCUCAACCGUUGAGGGUCAUUGGAAACUAAUAAACUUGAGUGCAGGAGAGAAAAGUGGAAUUCCUAGUGUAGCGGUGAAAUGCGUAGAGAUUAGGAGGAACACCGGUGGCGAAAGCGGCUUUUUGGCCUGCAACUGACACUGAGGCGCGAAAGCGUGGGGAGCAAACAGG